UACGUAGGGUGCAAGCGUUGUCCGGAAUUAUUGGGCGUAAAGAGCUCGUAGGCGGUUUGUCGCGUCUGCUGUGAAAACUCGGGGCUUAACCCCGGGCCUGCAGUGGGUACGGGCAGACUAGAGUGCGGUAGGGGAGAUCGGAAUUCCUGGUGUAGCGGUGAAAUGCGCAGAUAUCAGGAGGAACACCGGUGGCGAAGGCGGAUCUCUGGGCCGAUACUGACGCUGAGGAGCGAAAGUGUGGGGAGCGAACAGG
rnacentral:rRNA from 1 species